CUCUAAAAAUGGCUGGGUUAUUUUUUAACCCAAAAUGCUGGGUUGAGUCUGUUGGGUUGUUUUGCUGGGUUAUUUUUUAACAUUUUAAACACUUUUGGGGUAGUUUCAGUUUUCUGGUUGUUGGGUUAAAACUGCUGGGUUAUUAUGCUGGGUUGUUUGAAGAGGCUCACGUGCUUCGCGCCUUUGAUGUUUGAAUGUGCUCAGCAACGGUCGUUGUGAAAGGACAGAGUCACUGGAAGAAGUUGUUUCAAGAGUGUGCAGAGUUUUUACGUCCAUCCAUUGAUGAGGCUAGCAAGGCCUUCAUACAGCCAAUUGCAACAAAUGUGGUGGAAGUUCUUCUCUGGACAGAAUCCUCAAAAUCCUUUCCUUUAUUUCCUGGCCAUGGGAAACAUGCAACAGAUCUCUCAAUCUUUUUUCUCAAUCAGUUUCUCUGAUGGAGCCAAUACGGAAGUGACUUAAACUGCAAUUCGGCCAAGAUGGCGACGGCACGCACCGCCUACUUUAGGCUUCAAAAAUGCUCUUCACAAACCAGUGGGUGACGUCACGGACACUACUUUCAUAUUUUUUUACAGUCUAUGGUUUAAAGGCAUUUUACGUGCUUGAAAAUAAAUACCCAGGCAAUGUGCAUCUACUGUAGUCUGUCAUUUUCCAAAUGGAUAAAUCCUCUGCUGUUCGGUUCCUUUGUACAUCUUUGUUCGUGAGGAGUAACUUUAAUAAAUGAAGUAUUUUUAGUCAAAUACAUUCCAUACUCUGAAACUUGGAACAUCUGGUCUAUAAAAAACUUAAUUUAACAAUUACAUUGUUUAUUUUCUUACACUGCUGCAGAUUUGUUUAUGUACAUUUCAGUAUUUCAUUUAUAUAUUGUAUAUACUUAUAUACAAAUUCUGUCUUAAAUUCAAACAAAUUGAUUUAACCUGUUACAUUGUUACUUCAAUGUGCAUAAUUUCUGAUAUUUAAUAAAU